rnacentral:rRNA from 1 species
GAGGGGCAUUUUCGGAGCUGGCGCCGUCCUAAGUUCCUUGGAACAGGACGUCACAGAGGGUGAGAAUCCCGUGCCUGGAUGGCUGUCCAGCUCCAUGUGAGGUGUCUCCGACGAGUCGAGUUGUUUGGGAAUGCAGCUCAAAAUGGGUGGUAAAUUUCAUCUAAAGCUAAAUACUGGCGAGAGACCGAUAGCGCACAAGUAGAGUGAUCGAAAGAUGAAAAGCACUUUGAAAAGAGAGUUAAAAAGUACGUGAAAUUGUUGAAAGGGAAGCGCUUGAGACCAGACUCAACCUUCGGUGAUCAACUGUGCUUCUGUGCGGUGCACUUGCCGGGGGUUGGGCCAGCAUCGGUUUUGACGGUGGGAUAAAGGUUCGAGGAAUGUGGCUCCCCGAUUCCGGGGAGUGUUAUAGCCCUGAGCGCAAUGCCACCUGUUGGGACCGAGGACCGCGCUUCCGCUAGGAUGCUGGCGCAAUGGUCUUAAGCGGCCCGUCUUGAAACACGGACCAAGGAGUCUAACAUCUAUGCGAGUGUUCGGGUGGAAAACCCUUGCGCGUAAUGAAAGUGAACGGAGGUGGGAACCCUUCGGGGUGCACCAUCGACCGAUCCUGAUGUCUUCGGAAGGAUUUGAGUAGGAGCAUAGCUGUUGGGACCCGAAAGAUGGUGAACUAUGCCUGAAUAGGGUGAAGCCAGAGGAAACUCUGGUGGAGGCUCGCAGCGGUUCUGACGUGCAAAUCGAUCGUC